rnacentral:rRNA from 1 species
UAUUGAGAUGCGGGAGUUCGGGGCCC